rnacentral:rRNA from 1 species
GACGUAGGGGGCCAGCGUUGUUCGGAAUUACUGGGUGUAAAGGGUUCGUAGGCGGGGUGGCAAGUCGGGAGUGAAAUCUCUGGGCUCAACCCAGAGACUGCUUCCGAAACUGCUGUGCUUGAGUGUGAGAGAGGCUCGUGGAAUUGCAGGUGUAGCGGUGAAAUGCGUAGAUAUCUGCAGGAACACCCGUGGCGAAAGCGGCGAGCUGGAUCACUACUGACGCUGAGGAACGAAAGCUAGGGGAGCAAACAGG